AACCUGGUUGAUCCUGCCAGUAUUAUAUGCUUGUCUUAAAGAUUAAGCCAUGCAAAUGUAAGAACUGCUAAACAAUAAUUAACAUUCUGUGAACGGCUCAUUAAAAGGGUUAUAAACCUAGCCACUAGGAACACGUAAAAGGAUACCACCGUUAAAUGCAGCGAUAAUACUUGAGCUUACGCUAACAAUAAUGAGCGGAAUGAAGUCGCAUUAUUAUCAGAGUUAUUAUCCCACGUGGAUAGUAACAGGUUGACCACUGGUUAAAGAUAAUGUGAAAUUUGAGUCUAAUAAUCUUAAAUAAGAACAUAUUUUGUUUCUGGUGGCCUGGUAGAGAUGUUUCUUACCUAUCAGCUUUAGUUGUUUAUGUAAAGGAUAAACAAGGCUAUGACGGGUACGGGGAAUUAGUGUUUGAUUCCGGAGAGGGAGCCUUAAAAAUCGCUACCACAUCUAAGGACGGCAGCAGGCGCGAAAAUUACCCAAUUUCAACACGAAGAGGUAGUGACAAGUUAUAGUGACUUUACACUUUUCAAGUGGAAAGGUACAAUCAUCUGAUUGUUUAUCAUGAUUUAGAUAUAAAAAACCUUUUGAGAAGCAAUUGGAGGAAAAGUCUGGUGCCAGCACCCGCGGUAAUACCAGCUCCAAUAGUGUAUAUUAAUAUUGUUGUAGUUAAAACGCCCGUAGUCGAUUUAAGGACCUAUUACACGCCUGCAUAUUAACCAUCAGUACUAGGUUUUAAAUUUAUGAUUUAAUAACCAAGUAUAUGAAGGUAAUAUUAUUGCUGUUCAUCAAAUGAAUGGCAGUAGGUGUGUGAUACGGUCCGAUCCCUUUCAAUUUUCGAAUUGGAAGUGGCCAUUAUAAAUGGAGCAACUGUGAGUAACUCAUAAUGAUUAAAGUAGGCAAUGAAAAUAUUGCUCGUAUGAAAAAGCAUGGGAUUGCAAGCUAACUGUUCAUAUAUUGAAGGUUAUUAUUUAUAAUAGCUUUCGAUUAUGAAUGGUGUUAGUAAUGGGGUUUAGGGAGAGGCUCCUAGUACCAUAAAGAUAGGGGUGAAAUCCAAUAACCUUUAUGUGACGAUCUGAGGCGAAAGCUGUAGUGAGCCACCACAAACCCGUCGACGAGGGACGAAAGUUAGGGGAUCGAAGAUGAUUAGAUACCGUCGUAGUCCUGACUAUAAACGAUACCGACCGAGAAUUGGAUACGAAACCUUUAAAAUGAUCUCUUCAGAACUCAGGAGAAAUUUCAGUCUUUGGGUUCUGGGGGGAGUAUGGUCGCAAGUCUGAAACUUAAAGGAAUUGACGGAAAGGCACCACCAGGAGUGGAGUUUGCGGUUUAAUUCGACUCAACGCGGGAAAACUCACCAGAUCAGGACAAAUGUUUGAUUGACAGGUUAAAAGUCCUUUCUUGAUUAUUUGGAAGGUGGUGCAUGGCCGUUUGCAGUUCGUGGAGUGAUCUGUCUAGUUAAUUCUGAUAACGAACGAGACCCAAGCUUCUAACUAGCUGCAAUUGUUUCUUAUGAAAUAUUGCAAACUUUGCUUAUUAGAAGGACUAAAGUCGUUUUAGACUAAGGAAGUUUUGGGCUAUAACAGGUCUGUGAUGCUCUUAGAUGUUCUGGGCCACACGCGUACUACAAUAAUAUUAGCAACAAGCUUAGUGAAUUUAUCACUCCUUUAUUCAUUUAAUAGGUAUGGGGAAACUUUGAAUCGAUAUUAUGACUGGGAUAAAAGUUUGUAAAAAGUUUUUGAACGAGGAAUUCCUAGUAAUUGUGAGUCAUCAUCUCACAUUGAUUACGUCCCUGCCUUUUGUACACACCGCCCGUCGCUCCUACCGAUUGAAUGAAGAGAUGAAUCUGAUGGACCGGGUGUUUUCAUAGUAAAUUGAUUAUUUUCUGGGAAAUCAGCUGAAUCCCUUUGUUUGUAGGAAGGAAAAGUCGUAACAAGGUCUUCGUAGGUGAACCUGCAGAAGGAUCA
rnacentral:rRNA from 1 species